rnacentral:rRNA from 1 species
UAUGGCUGUACCACCUGGAAUGUGCCUGAUCUAGGAAGCUAAGCAGGGUCAGGCCUGGUUAGUACUUGGAUGGGAGAUCAUAAUUAAAGCAAAUACAGCUACCA